CCCAGCAUUACCAUUGCCAAAUCAGAGCUGAAUACAGUCGAUCAGUACAGCUAAUUUUGGUGCAUCUUCUCUUUAGACACCAAAAUUGCUGGAUAGCAGACUGGCAAAGUCAGACAGAGUAUUUGGCAGACUGUAUAAGAGAGUUUGGAACAAAAAGGAUCUGAAGAAAUAUCUUAGUGCCUAUCACAUUGACCAUUGUAACUGGUCUGCUC